rnacentral:rRNA from 1 species
GACGGAAGGUGCAAGCGUUGCUCGGAAUCACUGGGCGUAAAGGGUGCGUAGGCGGCCGCGCAAGUCUGGCGUGAAAGCCCCGGGCUCAGCCCGGGAAGGGCGCUCGAAACGGCGCGGCUCGAGUGCCGGAGGGGAGAGUGGAAUUCCUGGUGUAGCGGUGAAAUGCGUAGAUAUCAGGAGGAAUACCGGUGGCGAAAGCGGCGCACUGGACCACAUCUGACGCUGAGGCGCGAAAGCUAGGGGAGCAAACAGG